UUACGGGAGGCAGCAGUAGGGAAUCUUCCACAAUGGACGCAAGUCUGAUGGAGCAACGCCGCGUGAGUGAAGAAGGUUUUCGGAUCGUAAAGCUCCUGUUGUUGGUGAAGAAGGAUAGAGGUAGUAACUGGCCUUAUUUGACGGUAAUCAACCAGAAA
rnacentral:rRNA from 1 species